GAUUGGGAGGCCAUGAGCUCCACUGUCUUCAGGUGGUUCAGGAAGACACUCUGUGUGUGGGCAGAUCUGGGAUCAGGUCAGCUCCUGUUAUGGGAAGCGUCUGUUCCCUCCCCCAGCUAGCACCAUGUUCAGGUCUCCAAGACUGAAUUUGAUGAGUGUUGAUGCUGUAUCCUGAUGUGGCCUCUGGAAGACAGACAUGGUGGACCCAAAACACCUCUCUGUGGAGCACUGGGCUGAUGUCUGCUGAAGUCCUUUGACACACUUGAAAUCCAUACUAAUACUAAUAAACAGCUUUUAUCUGUA